rnacentral:pre_miRNA from 1 species
UUUGUACUCCCUCCGUCCCAAAAUUCUUGUCUUAAAUUUGUCUAAAUACGAAUGUAUCUAGUUACAUUUUAGUGUUAGAUACAUCCGUAUCUAAACAAAUGUAAGACAAGAAUUUUGGGACGGAGGGAAUACUAC